UAUGAACGCUGGCGGCGUGCCUAAUACAUGCAAGUCGAGCGAACAGACGAGGAGCUUGCUCCUUCGACGUUAGCGGCGGACGGGUGAGUAACACGUAGGUAACCUACCUAUAAGACUGGGAUAACUUCGGGAAACCGGAGCUAAUACCGGAUAAUAUAUCGAACCGCAUGGUUCGAUAGUGAAAGAUGGCUUUGCUAUCACUUAUAGAUGGACCUGCGCCGCAUUAGCUAGUUGGUAAGGUAACGGCUUACCAAGGCAACGAUACGUAGCCGACCUGAGAGGGUGAUCGGCCACACUGGAACUGAGACACGGUCCAGACUCCUACGGGAGGCAGCAGUAGGGAAUCUUCCGCAAUGGGCGAAAGCCUGACGGAGCAACGCCGCGUGAGUGAUGAAGGUCUUCGGAUCGUAAAACUCUGUUAUUAGGGAAGAACAAACGUGUAAGUAACUGUGCACGUCUUGACGGUACCUAAUCAGAAAGCCACGGCUAACUACGUG
rnacentral:rRNA from 1 species